GGGGGUGUAGCUCUGUGGUAGAGUAUGUGUUUAGCAUGCACAAAGCCCUGGGUUUCAUCCCCAGCACCAAAA
rnacentral:tRNA from 1 species